GACGAACGCUGGCGGCGUGCUUAACACAUGCAAGUCGAACGAAGUGGCGCACGGGUGAGUAACGCGUAAUCAACCUGCCCUUCAGAGGGUGACAACAGUUGGCAACGACUGCUACUACCGCAUACUUAAGGAGGUGAUUGCGUCUGCUUAGCUAGUUGGAGGGGUACCCGCACACCACGGCGAUGAUCAGUAUCCGGUCUGAGAGGAUGAACGGCCAAAUUGGGACUGAGACACGGCCCAGAAUCCUGCGGGAGGCAGCAGGGGGGAAUAUUCCGAAAUGGACGAAAGUCUGACUGAGCAACGCCGGGUGAGUGAUGACGGCCUUCGGGUUGUAAAGCUAUGUUAAUCGGGACGCGGUACCGGAAUAGAAAGCCACGGCUAACUACGUGCCAGCAGCCGCGGUAAUUC
rnacentral:rRNA from 1 species